AGUCAAGAGGAGCUUGCUUUUCUUGACUUAGUGGCGAACGGGUGAGUAACGCGUGAGUAACCUGCCCUGGAGUGGGGGACAACAGUUGGAAACGGCUGCUAAUACCGCAUAAGCGCACGGCAUCGCAUGAUGCAGUGUGAAAAACUCCGGUGGUAUAAGAUGGACCCGCGUUGGAUUAGCUAGUUGGUGAGGUAACGGCCCACCAAGGCGACGAUCCAUAGCCGACCUGAGAGGGUGACCGGCCACAUUGGGACUGAGACACGGCCCAAACUCC
rnacentral:rRNA from 1 species